AGAAUCAACGCUGGCGGCGUGCCUAACACAUGCAAGUCGAACGAGAAAGUGGGAGCAAUCCCACGAGUAAAGUGGCGCACGGGUGAGUAACACGUGACUAACCUACCCUUGAGUGGGGGAUAACCUAGGGAAACCUGGGCUAAUACCGCAUAAUACCUACGGGUCAAAGGAGCAAUUCGCUUAAGCGAGGGGGUCGCGGCCGAUUAGUUAGUUGGCGGGGUAAUGGCCCACCAAGACGAUGAUCGGUAUCCGGCCUGAGAGGGCGCACGGACACACUGGAACUGAAACACGGUCCAGACUCCUACGGGAGGCAGCAGUGGGGAAUUUUGCGCAAUGGGGGAAACCCUGACGCAGCAACGCCGCGUGGAGGAUGAAGUCCCUUGGGAUGUAAACUCCUUUCGAUCGGGACGAUAAUGACGGUACCGGAAGAAGAAGCCCGGCUAACUUCGUGCCAGCAGCCGC
rnacentral:rRNA from 1 species